rnacentral:rRNA from 1 species
GACGAACGCUGGCGGCGUGCUUAACACAUGCAAGUCGAACGGUGAAGCGCCUUCCUUUUUGGUGGGUGUGGAUGAGUGGCGAACGGGUGAGUAACACGUGGGUAACCUGCCCCCUUCUUCUGGAUAACCGCAUGAAAGUGUGGCUAAUACGGGAUAUUCUGGGUCUGUCGCAUGAUGGGUCUGGGAAAGAUAUUGUUUCGGUGGGGGAUGGGCUCGCGGCCUAUCAGCUUGUUGGUGGGGUGAUGGCCUACCAAGGCGGUGACGGGUAGCCGGCCUGAGAGGGUGGACGGUCACACUGGGACUGAGACACGGCCCAAACUCCUACGGGAGGCAGCAGUGGGGAAUAUUGCACAAUGGGCGCAAGCCUGAUGCAGCGACGCCGCGUGAGGGAUGGAGGCCUUCGGGUUGUGAACCUCUUUCGCCAGUGAAGCAGGCCUGCCUCGUUUGUGGGUGGGUUGACGGUAGCUGGAUAAGAAGCGCCGGCUAACUACGUG